AGUCACUGACAUUAGAUACCCGCGUAGUCCAGGGUGUAAACGCUGCAGACUUGGUGUUGGAAGCCCUUUGGGGGCAUUCAGUGCCGGAGAGAAGUUGUUAAGUCUGCUACUUGGGGAGUACGUCCGCAAAGAUGAAACUUAAAGGAAUUGGCGGGGGAGCACCGCAACGGGAGGAGCGUGCGGUUUAAUUGGAUUCAACACCGUAAACUCACCAGGGAAGACUGUUACAUGAAGGCCGAGAUGAAGACUCUGCUAGAUUUUCAG
rnacentral:rRNA from 1 species